AUGAUGCAUGAUGAUUUCAGAAGUACGGUCAAAUGGAAGGCUGGAGGAAGAUUUUUGAAAUGGCAAAGGCGCCAGUACGGACAUGAGACAAGAGUGAUGACAGUGGAGAAUGUACGAAUAUGCAGCCUUAACAGUAAAAAGGUAAAACAGUUCUUUCAUUUUGUUUGUUUUGCUCUGGAUAUAUAUGGCAAUUGGACAUAUAUAUGCAGGUCUGACUUGUUUCUUCAAAGGGAACAAAGGUGUCCUCUUCAUAAUGGUCAAGGACACAACUGCCAGCUUGACAUAUUUCGGUUUAACCAUCUCUUUUGUUUGCUGCCUUCAUUGUUAUUAUUUUUGUCAUAUAUCUUUUUUUUUAAAGUCUUGCUCCAAAGUUUUGUUUUGGAUAUGCACAUUCCAUAUUAG
rnacentral:rRNA from 1 species